rnacentral:rRNA from 1 species
GACGAACGCUGGCGGCGUGCUUAACACAUGCAAGUCGAACGGAAAGGCCCUGCUUUUGUGGGGUGCUCGAGUGGCGAACGGGUGAGUAACACGUGAGUAACCUGCCCUUGACUUUGGGAUAACUUCAGGAAACUGGGGUUAAUACCGGAUAGGAGCUCCUGCUGCAUGGUGGGGGUUGGAAAGUUUCGGCGGUUGGGGAUGGACUCGCGGCUUAUCAGCUUGUUGGUGGGGUAGUGGCUUACCAAGGCUUUGACGGGUAGCCGGCCUGAGAGGGUGACCGGCCACAUUGGGACUGAGAUACGGCCCAGACUCCUACGGGGGGCAGAAGUGGGGAAUAUUGCACAAUGGGCGGAAGCCUGAUGCAGCAACGCCGCGUGCGGGAUGACGGCCUUCGGGUUAUAAACCGCUUUCGCCUGUGACGAAGCGUGAGUGACGGUAAUGGGUAAAGAAGCACCGGCUAACUACGUG